UCUGGUGGAGCGCUCUCCGCUGCCUUUAGCGCACGCACAACCCCGAGCAGAUGCUCCAGGACCGGCCGCUCUGCAAAGGGAACAACGCGGGAGGGUCCCAUCAUACCCACAGUACCCUCACCCAGAGCCCCCAGACUUCCAGUUACAGCCUUCAAUCAGAGAAUACUGAAGGAAAAAAAAAGAAAAAGAAAGAAGGAUCAUUAAAGACUGAUCUUGACUGAGAACAGCAGCUUAAGGAUACUGUGGUAAAGCUAGAUUUCCACUUUAAUCCCCACCUCCAAAUUUUCCCAGUGAGCCCAAGCCUUGGCACAGGAUCUGAGAGGUAGGAAUCCUAUCUCUUCUAAGCUCCAAACGAUUUGAAGGUUGUAUCAAGAAGAAAGGUCUCUGCCUGAAUACGACAGGGAGAAAAUUCCACCCUAUGACAGAGAAGGCAACAGAGGCAGCCAAGCAGCCCGGAGAGAAAAACUGGGACUGGCAUUUGGAGCAGGAGCCUGGGACUGAUUAGGUAAGGAGAAACAGAGGUGGUGCGGAAAAAGCAGAGAGAAAGUGCUCAGCAGAGGAGCCUGGAGGGGAGAAAAGGGGCUGGAAGGGCAAGGAUAACAAAAUCAUCUAAUACUGUCAGCCAAGAGCAAGGGUACAUAAUUUCAGAAUGUCCAUAAUAGCUGGACUGAAUUUCAUGUGAAACAAAGUAAAAAUUGUGCAAGUCAAGAUGUUUUAUUUCUGUAUUGUUAACUUAUGUACUUCAGCUUCUCUGUUAAGUAUUAAUGUUUUUUAUUUUGAAUAGAAUUUGUUUUCUGAUGCUAGAAAAUAAAGAAUUUAAUGACCUUCAAGACAAGUAUUUCUGAGCAGAUGCAGAACAUUUAAAAAUGAUUUUUGUGUGUGUGUGACAUCAAGGUAAAGAAAUGUGCUACUCAUUUGGUGCUAGCUGUAAUAUCAAAUGCUCAGAUGUUAGGGCAACAUCUACACUGAGGGUGACAGAGUUCCUCAGUUCUGCCUCCCAACAUUGAGAUACACGACCACACAGAGUUCAUUCCACCGAUUUCCCAAAACACAAAUGAAGCCUUGCAAUGUACGUCUCCUCUGUGGGCAGGGCACAAGUUCCUAGUUUUUAUUCACUGUAUUUCCAAUUUGUCACAGAACUGGGUACUGUUCAUAGACAAGGCAGACAAUUACAGGGAGAGAAAGCAGGGCCUUAUGGCAAUGUGACAGCAGAAUUUUGCUUGGAGAAUGUGAAUCCAUUCCCCUUUCACCUCAGUGCUUCUAUAAUGUGCAGAAAGUCAUCACAAGAUGUAAUAAUUAGCUGAGAUUUUUGUGUUAUGAGAGCCCACCAUGAAAUUCUGGAGUUGAAUUUGCUGAAGCAAAUGCCUAGGACAAAAUCCACGGGACUGUACAUUGACAAUGCCAAGGGAUGCAGAAUGUCAAACAGGCUGAAAAAAACAAGUAAUCAGCAUCUCUAAUUGGAUACUCAAAAUUAGUGGGCACUUCUGACUUUAAUCUCAUUUAGUUGGAGCACAGAUUUAUUAACAAGGAUAAGACUAUCUCAUUGCUUCAAUUUUUUUGUUGUAAAGGAUGUUUGCCAAACACCCAGACACUAUACGUCUUGUGGCUGGGAGAGGGUCAGCAGAAAAAUAACAGUGCUGGGUUCAAACUGGGGUUUAUGUGCCCCAAACAAAACCUACAGAGUCCCAUACAGUUAAAACUCAGCCGCGGAAACUAACUCCUGCUAGCCCUGUCCCAGGUACUACCCUGAAUGACAAAGGGGUGCUGACAAAAGUAUCGAGCAGAAAAGUCCCACCACCCUUUCAAAUAAUAUUCUUGUGGGUUGUACAUGAAUAGAUGAAACAAAGCGGGUUUUUUAAAGUUAUCUUUUGAAAAGGAAGGAAGUGAGACCAUUAUCCAAAAGCUCCUCGAACUCAAUCAGCUCAUGACCAUGUCCACUGCACUCUGGGGUAGAACCUUUCCCUAACUCCAACCUGACCCUUACCAACACAGCUCCAUGCCGAUCCCUUGGGCCCUGUUGCCAGGUAGCUGAGGUCAGCACUAUCUCUCCACUCCCCUUGAGGAGCUGUAGGCUAAUACGAGGCCUCCCCUCAGUCUGCUCUUUUCCAGGUUGAAGUGAAUUCUGUGAUGAUUUCUGCUGCUUAGAACUAAAUACAAACAUUAACAUCAAAGCCUCAAAAAUCCCCAGUCUGAUACUUAGCCUUCACAUCACUUGCAGCUUAAGUUGUCUAAAAAGCACAAAAACAUGGCAUUGAAGAAAAAUGUAAGGCAUAAAAAAAUAAGUCAUAACAACAUGACUUGCUAGUGAUAAACAUCAACAAAGUUACUACAGAUAAAAUUAUGAAUCUAAGUAGAGGUUGCACUGCACCUUGCAAUUCAAAGACAGACAAAACAAGCAAGGUUGAAAUAUCCUUCAUGUUAGUGGUAGAACACCACAGAUUCAGGGGUAUUAGUGAUAUCUCAAUCACUUUAACAAGUUUUUUUUUUUGGUAUUUUAUUUUAUUUUAUUUUAUUUUAUUUUAUUUUAUUUUAUUUUAUUUUAUUUUAUUUUAUUUUAUUUUAUUUUAUUUUAUUUUAGAGAGUUGAAUGGUAGCAGAUUGAUAACUUUUAGACAGUAUUUCAGCUCAUUUGCUGAUCGGGUGCAACACAAAUAACAUUUCUGUUUUACCCAAGCUAAGCAUCAUAGCAGUACCAGCUAUCUGUAGGGAAAUGGUGUAAAGUCUCCAAAAGUUUUCAGGUCGAUGAAAGAAUCAUUAACAACUCAGACCGCUCUACAGUGAGCUGGAUUUGCACAAGCAAUGGGCAAAAAAAGGACUUGAACAUUUAAAGUUCUGUUUUCUGUAUUAGAGAGAAGUUCCAGAAUCACUCUCCUUUGUAGUGUAAAGAUAGUAGCACGAUCACCAGGCAUGUGGUCCUGACCUCAGACUGAGGAUCCUUGGCCUAGAGUCAAGCAGUCCCUGCAGUCACUGAAACAGCCAAAUUAACUGUCUGCUUAGCCAUGGAUUAAAAUUCAUCCACUGAUCCAAGACAGUAAGUGAGACAAUAAUUUGUGACUCCUACUUUGCUUCACAGCAGAUCCUCAUUUAGAAUAAAGCUAUAGUUCAGCGUGAGUUUUUAUGCUGAGAAAUAAUCAUGAUGGCAUUGUAAAAUUGUACCUGUAAUAAUUUGAACAAAUGGGAUAAAUAAAUGCAAAUGUAAAAGGAGCAAACGGUUCCAGUUUUCAGUAAUGCAGAGACUGUUCAAGAGCAGAGGAUAAAGAUAGCUUCGGGAGCCCUGAUGCAAUCAGCAGUCACUAUUACUUUGAGUAGUAACUCAUAACAAGUAAAGUACCAUUUCCUCUGAGUAGGAACUCUUCAACAUUGCUUUUACCACCACAACUUAACUCACUGCUUCUCUAGCAAAUCACAGACUUGAUUGAAAUAUUAUUGACUAAAUUGCUUAAUGCUUUCUAGAGACCUAAAAUACGUGAAGUACCCAGUGCACAGAUGUGACAGCUAAUUUCAAAACCAAGGACAAAAAAACCAACUGGCUAGAGAACAGAGGCUUUCUUUUUUAACAUCUCUAUUAGAUGUCACACUUGGCCUUAGUGACAAAGCAAUGUAUGCUCUAAAGUCCAUCAUUUUUAUACUAGCAUACAAGACAGAACAACUAGCGCAGUCUCAGUUACACAAUACAAGGAUGGCUGUCUGCUGCUGAGGAACUGAUUUUGAUCCAAAUAACCACAAGUGUUUGUAUGUCACAGACAGAAACUCAAGGUGUGUUAUCCGCAUCUCCAUAGAACAUCAUCAAUAAAAAAAACCCAACAACUUCAAGACACAGUAUGAAAGUCAAGCUAACAUAAAAUAGUGUAUUUACUUCUGUGCUUUUAUACACUAGAUUAUAAGCCUUUUCACACUGAUAAAUUUCCUCAUCAUGGCCAAUAAUAAUUAAAAAAUAAAAAGAAAGAAAAAGCUUUUUCUUUUUCUCAGUAUAUCUGUCCAAGUCAAAGAUCUGAUAUUUGUGUCAAUAAAGAUUUACUCUUGCUUGUGAUGAUAACCCAAUACCAUCUCACCUCUGUGGUGACCAUAUCUCAAUGAUGAGUGGAUAGAUCACUGUAAAAGUAUGUACCUACUCUGAGGUACAGUAAUCUGACCGUAUCUCCAUGUAUCUUGGAAGGCUCCAAAACAACAGUAGGGGUCAUGAUAAAUCAUUUGAGUAUAAGGUUAAUGCUCAUUGCAAUAGCAUUGCAAUAUUUCAUAGGUAUAUGUGCAAAGGCAAAGGUUUUAUUCAUAAAUACACUGAUGAUAUAAUUGCCUUGGACCCUCCUAGCAUAAAUUUAGAGAGAGGAGUAAAAUAAAAGAUGACUCUAAUUUUCUGGCUAUGAAGAUGACUCUUCCUACCAGCAGUGGCCGGUCCAUCUUUGUCACACUCGGCAUUACAAAACUCCCCACUCGCUCACCCGUAUCACCACCAGAGAGAAGGUGAAAGGCAGAGCUGUCUAUGGAAGUAAAUUUAAGAUGAUUAAGAUAGUCUGGACUUGCUGUGUGGCCUCAGUAGUUCACUCAUGGGAAGGCUUGCCAAGACAGAAAUGGAAGUUAAGCACCUAGUCCAACUCUCACAAUCAAAAGGCAACUUCCCUAAAAGCAGCGUGCCUGUCUUUCAUGGGUUCAAACUCAGAAAGAGCUGCAGGAUUUAGACUAAUUUUUAUGGUGAGGGAAUUUUUCAGUUUUUGAAUUACCUUUUUGGUCACACAUGGUAACUCCACGUUUAUGUGAAUAAGGAAAGCAUACAGGCCUAGUUGUAACACCUCAGUAAAGAAGAGGCAAUUGCUUGAGAUGUAGCAGCAAAAAUUUGUGACUCUUGGUUUAGCUCUCUUUCCAAAUAAUAAAAAUAUAUUUAAAACAAAUAUCCAUGAUAAGAUGUACUGCCAACAAUAAUAAAACUGUGGAAAUCUCAUAUAUUUGAGAUAUAGCUUCAAAUAGAAGCUACCGUAGAAGGAUUUACUCAAUGCUUUCAGCAUGAUACACAUACUGAUUUCCAUCCUACAGUAAAUAUGGGCCAGAACAACAGGUCUCAAAUCUCCAUCUUCUGGAGGUGAUGAUGAUGAAGAACUGUAUGAAGGAGGAUGAGGCUGAAAGUGAGACAUCCUCAUGAGUAAUGAUGCCAAGAGGAAUAAAAAUUGAAAUGACUUCCCACGCCAUCAUACAAAUCUUGAACACAGUCCUAUUUUAAUGAUUUUCUUACUGUUAUUGGAACCUGAAAAUUAAUUAUAUUCUUAAUAAAUAAACGUUUAUUUCAAUAUACUUCACUAAUACUUUAACACUCCUCUGGUAUUUGAUUCAUUAGAAUGCAGGUAAACUUUGCUUAAAUAUAGAGAACUGUAGAGCUAUUGCUAGCAUUGUAAUGUAAAAAGCUGAGGAAGAGCAUUAAAAAAAAUCUAGAAUAAAUUAAAUGGUUAUUUGUUA